rnacentral:rRNA from 1 species
CCUACGGGCGGCAGCAGUGGGGAAUAUUGGGCAAUGGGCGCAAGCCUGACCCAGCAACGCCGCGUGAAGGAAGAAGGCUUUCGGGUUGUAAACUUCUUUUGUCAGGGAAGAGUAGAAGACGGUACCUGUCGAAUAAGCCACGGCUAACUACGUGCCAGCAGCCGCGGUAAUACGUAGGUGGCAAGCGUUGUCCGGAUUUACUGGGUGUAAAGGGCGUGUAGCCGGGUUGACAAGUCAGAUGUGAAAUCCCGCGGCUCAACCGCCGAACUGCAUUUGAAACUGUUGAUCUUGAGUACUGGAGAGGCAGGUGGAAUUCCUAGUGUAGCGGUGAAAUGCGUAGAUAUGAGGCAGAACCCCGAUUGCGAAGGCAGUCUGCCGGAGAGCUACUGACGGUGAGGCACGAAAGUGCGGGGAGCGAACAGGAUUAGAUACCCUGGUAGUC